UACGUAGGGUGCAAGCGUUGUUCGGAAUUAUUGGGCGUAAAGCGCGCGUAGGCGGGUUUGUAAGUCGAUUGUGAAAGCCCUGGGCUUAACCUGGGAAUUGCAGUCGAAACUGCAAAUCUUGAAUACCUAAGAGGAUGGCGGAAUUCCCGGUGUAGUAGUGAAAUACGUAGAUAUCGGGAGGAACACCUGAGGCGAAGGCGGCUGUCUGGUGGUGUAUUGACGCUGAGGCGCGAAAGCGUGGGGAGCAAACAGG
rnacentral:rRNA from 1 species